rnacentral:rRNA from 1 species
UACGGAGGCCCCGAGCGUUGUUCGGAUUUAUUGGGCGUAAAGGGAGCGUAGGCGGCGUGGUAAGUCUGGUGUGAAAGGCGCGGGCUCAACCUGCGGACUGCAUUGGAUACUGCCAUGCUUGAGGACUGGAGAGGAGAAUGGAAUUCACGGUGGAGCAGUGAAAUGCGUAGAUAUCGUGAGGAAGGCCAGUGGCGAAGGCGAUUCUCUGGACAGUACCUGACGCUGAGGCUCGAAGGCUGGGGGAGCGAACAGG